rnacentral:rRNA from 1 species
AUUAGAGUUUGAUCCUGGCUCAGGACGAACGCUGGCGGCGUGCUUAACACAUGCAAGUCGAGCGGUAAGGCCUUUCGGGGUACACGAGCGGCGAACGGGUGAGUAACACGUGGGUGAUCUGCCCUGCACUUCGGGAUAAGCCUGGGAAACUGGGUCUAAUACCGGAUAUGACCUCCUAUCGCAUGGUGGGUGGUGGAAAGAUUUAUCGGUGCAGGAUGGGCCCGCGGCCUAUCAGCUUGUUGGUGGGGUAAUGGCCUACCAAGGCGACGACGGGUAGCCGACCUGAGAGGGUGACCGGCCACACUGGGACUGAGACACGGCCCAGACUCCUACGGGAGGCAGCAGUGGGGAAUAUUGGACAAUGGGCGAAAGCCUGAUGCAGCGACGCCGCGUGAGGGAUGACGGCCUUCGGGUUGUAAACCUCUUUCAGCAGGGACGAAGCGCAAGUGACGGUACCUGCAGAAGAAGCACCGGCUAACUACGUGCCAGCAGCCGCGGUAAUACGUAGGGUGCAAGCGUUGUCCGGAAUUACUGGGCGUAAAGAGUUCGUAGGCGGUUUGUCACGUCGUUUGUGAAAACUCACAGCUCAACUGUGAGCCUGCAGGCGAUACGGGCAGACUUGAGUACUGCAGGGGAGACUGGAAUUCCUGGUGUAGCGGUGAAAUGCGCAGAUAUCAGGAGGAACACCGGUGGCGAAGGCGGGUCUCUGGGCAGUAACUGACGCUGAGGAACGAAAGCGUGGGUAGCGAACAGGAUUAGAUACCCUGGUAGUCCACGCCGUAAACGGU